rnacentral:rRNA from 1 species
GCAGUAGCCGCGGUAAUACGUAGGGUGCGAGCGUUAAUCGGAAUUACUGGGCGUAAAGCGUGCGCAGGCGGUUAUGUAAGACAGUUGUGAGACCCCCGGGCUCAACCUGGGAACUGCAUCUGUGACUGCAUAGCUAGAGUACGGUAGAGGGGGAUGGAAUUCCGCGUGUAGCAGUGAAAUGCGUAGAUGUGCGGAGGAACACCGAUGGCGAAGGCAAUCCCCUGGACCUGUACUGACGCUCAUGCACGAAAGCGUGGGGGGCAAACAGGAUUAGAUACCCCAGUAGUCCCUGUCUCUUAUAC